rnacentral:rRNA from 1 species
GGGACACGUGGUAUCCUGUCUGAAUAUGGGGGGACCAUCCUCCAAGGCUAAAUACUCCUGACUGACCGAUAGUGAACCAGUACCGUGAGGGAAAGGCGAAAAGAACCCCGGCGAGGGGAGUGAAAAAGAACCUGAAACCGUGUACGUACAAGCAGUGGGAGCCUCUUUUAUGGGGUGACUGCGUACCUUUUGUAUAAUGGGUCAGCGACUUAUAUUCUGUAGCAAGGUUAACCGAAUAGGGGAGCCGAAGGGAAACCGAGUCUUAACUGGGCGUUAAGUUGCAGGGUAUAGACCCGAAACCCGGUGAUCUAGCCAUGGGCAGGUUGAAGGUUGGGUAACACUAACUGGAGGACCGAACCGACUAAUGUUGAAAAAUUAGCGGAUGACUUGUGGCUGGGGGUGAAAGGCCAAUCAAACCGGGAGAUAGCUGGUUCUCCCCGAAAGCUAUUUAGGUAGCGCCUCGUGAACUCAUCUCCGGGGGUAGAGCACUGUUUCGGCAAGGGGGUCAUCCCGACUUACCAACCCGAUGCAAACUGCGAAUACCGGAGAAUGUUAUCACGGGAGACACACGGCGGGUGCUAACGUCCGUCGUGAAGAGGGAAACAACCCAGACCGCCAGCUAAGGUCCCAAAGUCAUGGUUAAGUGGGAAACGAUGUGGGAAGGCCCAGACAGCCAGGAUGUUGGCUUAGAAGCAGCCAUCAUUUAAAGAAAGCGUAAUAGCUCACUGGUCGAGUCGGCCUGCGCGGAAGAUGUAACGGGGCUAAACCAUGCACCGAAGCUGCGGCAGCGACACUAUGUGUUGUUGGGUAGGGGAGCGUUCUGUAAGCCUGUGAAGGUGUGCUGUGAGGCAUGCUGGAGGUAUCAGAAGUGCGAAUGCUGACAUAAGUAACGAUAAAGCGGGUGAAAAGCCCGCUCGCCGGAAGACCAAGGGUUCCUGUCCAACGUUAAUCGGGGCAGGGUGAGUCGACCCCUAAGGCGAGGCCGAAAGGCGUAGUCGAUGGGAAACAGGUUAAUAUUCCUGUACUUGGUGUUACUGCGAAGGGGGGACGGAGAAGGCUAUGUUGGCCGGGCGACGGUUGUCCCGGUUUAAGCGUGUAGGCUGGUUUUCCAGGCAAAUCCGGAAAAUCAAGGCUGAGGCGUGAUGACGAGGCACUACGGUGCUGAAGCAACAAAUGCCCUGCUUCCAGGAAAAGCCUCUAAGCAUCAGGUAACAUCAAAUCGUACCCCAAACCGACACAGGUGGUCAGGUAGAGAAUACCAAGGCGCUUGAGAGAACUCGGGUGAAGGAACUAGGCAAAAUGGUGCCGUAACUUCGGGAGAAGGCACGCUGAUAUGUAGGUGAAGUCCCUCGCGGAUGGAGCUGAAAUCAGUCGAAGAUACCAGCUGGCUGCAACUGUUUAUUAAAAACACAGCACUGUGCAAACACGAAAGUGGACGUAUACGGUGUGACGCCUGCCCGGUGC